rnacentral:rRNA from 1 species
AUGAACGCUGGCGGCGUGCCUAAUACAUGCAUGUCGAGCGAACGGACGAGAAGCUUGCUUCUCUGAUGUUAGCGGCGGACGGGUGAGUAACACGUGGAUAACCUACCUAUAAGACUGGGAUAACUUCGGGAAACCGGAGCUAAUACCGGAUAAUAUUUUGAACCGCAUGGUUCAAAAGUGAAAGACGGUCUUGCUGUCACUUAUAGAUGGAUCCGCGCUGCAUUAGCUAGUUGGUAAGGUAACGGCUUACCAAGGCAACGAUGCAUAGCCGACCUGAGAGGGUGAUCGGCCACACUGGAACUGAGACACGGUCCAGACUCCUACGGGAGGCAGCAGUAGGGAAUCUUCCGCAAUGGGCGAAAGCCUGACGGAGCAACGCCGCGUGAGUGAUGAAGGUCUUCGGAUCGUAAAACUCUGUUAUUAGGGAAGAACAUAUGUGUAAGUAACUGUGCACAUCUUGACGGUACCUAAUCAGAAAGCCACGGCUAACUACGUG